rnacentral:sRNA from 1 species
GCCAGGUGUGGUGGUGCAUGCCUGUAAUCCCAGCAAUUUGGAAGGCUGAGGCAAGAGGAUGCUGAGUUCAAAGCCAGCCUCAGUAACAGCGAGGUGGUAAGCAACUCAGUGAGACCCUGUCUCUA